AUGCUGAUUAAGAGAAAGAAGUUAGGAUAGGUUUUAUGUUAGAAUUAUAAGUGGUUACAUAAUGGUCAAAAGAGUCAAACAGGAAUGGUUAUUCCCGACUUGUACAAAGAAUUAGGUGUGUUGUACUAUAAAAUUUGGUCCAAUUUUCUUAACACGUGUAUUUCACUCAGAACGCAGCCCUUUACUUUUCCUUUUCUGGGAUACAUGUGUUUACCUUUUUGGGCCACAUGCUUCUAGCCAUUACACUUUGCUUUUUCAAUUCUCCUUCACGAUAUUUCUUCACAAUAUGUAUUUCAUAUGUCUCUGUUACCAAUUCUCUCUAUUAGGCUUAGGUCUUCUUUUAUCGGUUUCACUUUUUCAUUUGAGGUUGUAGUAAUGUUGCAUGCGCUGAAUUUAGACUUGGUCUGAUGUUGUAGUUGCUGCUCCUUUUGCUCCUCCUCUCCAUCUUCCCCUAUUUACAGGCCUUUGUAUUUAGUUUGAGAAGAAAGGAAAGGAAUUGCAAAGACAAGAUGCAGGGAUGAAUAUUUCAAAAGUUUACCCAUUUUCCAGAGAAAUUCCUAUAUCAUUAUAGAUUACAAUAUUCAUGAGAAAAAGUUUGAGUUUUUCUACCCAUCACAUGUAUUUUUAGGUUUCAAGUGGAAUAUCAUUUUAGAUAGUGUAUUUAGUUUUUCAAAACUCAUGUUUGUGUAAUUAUAACCAAAUUGAUGGCAUGAAGAUAUCUUUGUUAUAGUUCAGUUAUAUUUGCAUGUUUCAUUUAAACACA